GAGACUCAACAAUAAUUUCUUGAGGCAACUUAACGAUGACGUUUUUGGUGAAACAACUAAGCUUCAAUACUUAGAUAUUGGUGAAAACCUUCUUGUUGACCUUCAUGAAGACAUUUUCGACAAUUUGACAGACUUGCGAAUCUUAAGCCUGCGAUCUAACAGUAUUCGUCAGAUUAAGAGGGAUGUGUUUAAACGCACAACACGCCUAACUCAUUUGUAAGUAGAGC